ACCUCCCCCAGAAGCACUGCAGGUGUGGCGACUGUGUCACAUGUGAGUCAGUAGGUGGCAGAGAGGAGAGAGACUAUGUCUCCUAUGCUCAGUGCUCUGACCUAUGAACAUCUAAAUGAUUAGUAGCCUAACAUU